GUUACAUAAAAAUUUCAGGCCAAACAAGGCCUGAAAAUAUAUUUCAGAACUAAAAAUAGCUGUAUUGAUAAUUCGGGUCGUGAAACUACCGAGUUCGGACCGCCGACGCCAUUAACAAUCCCUGCGUUCCCCUGCUUGCCGGAGAACUACCAGGACGGAGUGAAAAUCAGUAAUUCUCUUUCAAUUUUGUUUAUCCAGUGCACCAUAGUUUGGAAGAAGUUUCAUGAGAAACCCUUGUCAAGGCUAUCUUUUUGAGGUGUCCAAGGAUUGACACAGGUCAGAACCGGGAACCAGACACAUGAAAUGGCAGCCAUAUUUUUGUAGAACACUGAUCUUUUUGGCAUGAUUAUUUGCAAGAGGCAUUAUGCAUAGAGUGAGAAAGGGAGGUGGGUUUUGCUAGAAGAACAAAACAAGUCAGCGAUAGAAAAAUUCAUCAUAGGUGUUGGCUUAUUCGGAAACACUAUUUUUUUUUUAAUCUUUUGGCCCUUUUUCCUGUUCUAUCAUGGGAUAUGUAACCUGAAAUUCUGUUCUUGAUUGCCUAAAGAGAACAGAUGUAGUAAUUCUUUUUUUCCUUUAUUUCUGUUACAAGCUUUUUACCUGGUUUGUGUUUCACCUUUACGCAUGGAUUGUUUUCUUUUUCUGGCGUUGUUCUGUUAGUGGCCAGCUAUUUUCAACUUUGCUGAAGUCUCCUUCUUCAUCAAGAGUGAGUGAGAGAUCCGUCUAAGAACAAUAGAAGAGGGAUAUACCAUCGAAUUCGGAUCUUAGAGAAGUCUCGAUCUUCGUCCACACCUAGGACAUAGAUUCUAUGUGCCCUAAUGGAUUGUGACAAGUCCUUGCUACUAGCACUGGCUUUCUCUUUGAUUACUUUACUUCGCUCAGCUUCCUACUUUUGGUUAGAGCCGCCUCGGACUCCCCCGACAGCCCUAAGAGGAAGGAGUUGUCCAUGGGAUGGACAAUGAAGUGUAUCGAUCCUCCCCGGCCUCUUCUCUUUUUAGUGGGUGAGGAGCUCUAUAGUCCAGGUGCAGUUUUUAUUUCUAUCUAUACAUUUUCAGAUAUCAUUGCUUCGAUACGGUCUUUUACGUUGUUAGUACAUACAGGACCUGUACAAAGAAAUAUUUGGGCU
rnacentral:lncRNA from 1 species